AGUGAACGCUGGCGGUAGGCCUAACACAUGCAAGUCGAACGGCAGCACAGUAAGAGCUUGCUCUUACGGGUGGCGAGUGGCGGACGGGUGAGGAAUACAUCGGAAUCUACUUUUUCGUGGGGGAUAACGUAGGGAAACUUACGCUAAUACCGCAUACGACCUACGGGUGAAAGCAGGGGAUCUUCGGACCUUGCGCGAUUGAAUGAGCCGAUGUCGGAUUAGCUAGUUGGCGGGGUAAAGGCCCACCAAGGCGACGAUCCGUAGCUGGUCUGAGAGGAUGAUCCGCCACACUGGAACUGAGACACGGUCCAGACUCCUACGGGAGGCAGCAGUGGGGAAUACUGGACAAUGGGCGCAAGCCUGAUCCAGCCAUACCGCGUGGGUGAAGAAGGCCUUCGGGUUGUAAAGCCCUUUUGUUGGGAAAGAAAAGCAGCAGGUUAAUACCCCGCUGUUCUGACGGUACCCAAAGAAUAAGCACCGGCUAACUUCGUG
rnacentral:rRNA from 1 species